GUGAAUCAUCGAAUUUUUGAACGCAAAUUGCACUCCCCGGUUUUCCGGGAGAGUAUGCCUGUUCGAGGGUCAGCCUAAAAAAAAUCGACAUUGUCGCUGUUUUAUGGUGACGUUCGUCGGAGAUGGGUUAUCUUAAAUCUCUGUUUAAGCGACUUAAAAUUUUUUUUUACGCAUCUAAGCAUUUUGCUAAGAUUUUUCUUGUACGUUUAAGGUAUCGAAUGUCUUAUUAGACGUGACCAUCAUAUCGGAUCGU
rnacentral:misc_RNA from 1 species